AUAGCCUCCGAAUAGCGAGAAGGUGCAUUAUCUGAAUACUUUCUGGUUCAGACAGAGGCUUAUAUUAAAACUCGAAUCAGUUUUUGAGGGUGAAAAAAGCUUUACUCUUUUUUUUUUUACCCAUCAAAUCUUUCAUUCCUUUUAUUGGAUAGAUUCGAAUAUCU
rnacentral:snoRNA from 1 species